UUGGUUUGUGCGUAUCGACAACAAAUGAGACGUUGUAUGCAAAGGGUCAUAACACGGCGAAAUACAAUCAAUGUAUCGAUAGAAAAUCGAUGGCAUAACAACAUGAAAAUGUCAGAUCCACAUAUUAAAAUCCAAUUUUUAGCAAUGAAAGUAAAUCAAAGAAACAGAGCAAAAUCCACACGCAUAUCACACUUUAUUAAUCAUUAAUAUUGUGAAAUGACAAUGAUCAUAAUCGAAA
rnacentral:lncRNA from 1 species